AGAGGCGCCAGCCCAGCACUCACUCAUGAUUCGGAUGGCAGAAGGCUUUCUCGCUGCGCUCGUGGCCGUGAGGAACCAUACCAGUGGAUAAUGUUAGUAGCUUCUUACUGAUAUUGAAAGAGAGAAGCAUGACGUUACCAUAUGAAAACAAUGAAGGAAGAAGCAAUGUAAACAAGAUGAGUCUGUCACACAAGUAACUUCACAAGAAAUGGAUUAAAACCCAAAAGGAUAGGAACUUGUUUUUACAUGAGGAAAUAUUGAGAUCCAGUUAGUUAAAAAUUAAGGUUCAAAGCUGAACUAUGUGAGGAUGUCUGAAGCUUCUGAAGAGGAUAAAGAGAAUGGAAAUUUUCUUUGAAGAUUGGAAUUUAUUUAACAAGAAUUUUUGUAAAGCCCCCGGACCUGCUGCCACUCUGUGUCCUGCCCCUGCCCAGGCCCUCUUCCUGGUUCAGGCACAGAAUGCCAACCUGACUCCCAGCAUGGAAACAAAUUAGUUUCUGAUGGAAAGGGAUUUGACUCAGAAGGAGAGAAAAUGCUUUGAGGACACUCCAGCAAAGGAAGCCUCUUUACCACCAGGUGGUCACCAAUAAUCUCUAAGAAGAUGUGAGGUACCUUAUAGUUGUAAACAAUUGUAGUAUCAGAUCUUUUCAAAAAGAACACAGCAGAGACAUCAGUUCAACGUUGGAGAAAUAGGAAAGAUUUCAUGCCAUCAAAUCAGGGAGGCUCUUGAAACAUCGCUGACGUCCUAAUCUCCUUUUUCAGGUUUUUAAACAUCUAAGAAUACCAGGUAAAUUUAUCAGUACUUAUCUGGCAAAGAAGAGAGAGGGAGAGUAUGUAUGUGCAUGGAGAGAAUAAACUCUGCAUAAGUUUUCCAGCAUUGCAUGGCAAGCAGAAGGAUGCUGAUUUCACCAAUGAAAUAGCUAAUAAGAGCACAAAAGCAGACAUCUCAAAAGCAUUCCAGACUCCAAAGAAAAAGAGAAUGUUCAGAAGAGGCUUCCAACCUGCUGGAAUAAAUCCCUUUGAACCUAAGAGAGGAAGAGUUCAUAUAAGCCACACUAAAAGUCAGAAUUUAUUGUUUAUCAGCAUGUUUAAUAAAAUUUAUUUUGAAAAGUGU